rnacentral:lncRNA from 1 species
AGGAAGUGUGGGGUACAGGGGUGAGGAGGAGGUGUUAGCAGCUUGCUGGUGAAGGAGGGGGUACAGACGGCCUAACUCGUCUUCCUGGGGUGGAAGGCGCUUGGCCUGCUGCGCCCAUGCACGGCUGCACAAGGGGAGCCCAGGCUUAUCACUUCCCUGGAAGAAAAGCACAUUUCCAGCUUCCUGUGCCGAAGAGCGAGAGCCCAGCGCCCUUCGCGCUGCUCAGACCCAGACUGCCUGUGCACGCGAGACGCCUGGGGCCUGCAGAAGAGCUGAGACUUUGCUGCACGACCGAGAGGAAGUGAUUCCAGAAGACCAGCACCUGCAAACUGGAGGCAUCCAGCCCCUGAGCAUACUCAGGACACUUCCAGGGGCCUUCAGACAGGCCUUUUCUGACCAGGAGUCUCCUCACUAUGAUCACCUGUCCUGCACAGAGAGACCUGGACUUCUAGAGAAAAUUGAUGCCUCACAUCUUGAGGACCUUACAGCAAUCCCAAGGCUAGAGCUCCCGGGUCAGCAGCUCAGCCCAUGCUCCGUGUGA